rnacentral:rRNA from 1 species
AUUGAACGCUGGCGGCAGGCCUAACACAUGCAAGUCGAGCGGAUGAAGGGAGCUUGCUCCUGGAUUCAGCGGCGGACGGGUGAGUAAUGCCUAGGAAUCUGCCUGUUAGUGGGGGAUAACGUCCGGAAACGGGCGCUAAUACCGCAUACGUCCUGAGGGAGAAAGUGGGGGAUCUUCGGACCUCACGCUAUCAGAUGAGCCUAGGUCGGAUUAGCUAGUUGGUGGGGUAAAGGCCUACCAAGGCGACGAUCCGUAACUGGUCUGAGAGGAUGAUCAGUCACACUGGAACUGAGACACGGUCCAGACUCCUACGGGAGGCAGCAGUGGGGAAUAUUGGACAAUGGGCGAAAGCAUGAUCCAGCAAUGCCGCGUGUGUGAAGAAGGUCUUCGGAUUGUAAAGCACUUUAAGUUGGGAGGAAGGGAAGUAAGUUAAUACCUUGCUGUUUUGACGUUACCAACAGAAUAAGCACCGGCUAACUUCGUG